rnacentral:rRNA from 1 species
UACGUAGGGGGGCAAGCGUUGUCCGGAUUUAUUGGGCGUAAAGAGCGUGUAGGCGGCCAGAUAGGUCAGCUGUGAAAACUCGAGGCUCAACCUCGAGAUGUCGGCUGAAACCAUCUGGCUAGAGUCCGGAAGAGGAGAAUGGAAUUCCCGGUGUAGCGGUGAAAUGCGCAGAUAUCGGGAAGAACACCCGUGGCGAAGGCGGUUCUCUGGGACGGUACUGACGCUGAGACGCGAAAGCGUGGGGGAGCGAACAGG